UGCAAUUGUAAAUGUGCAAUUGUGUGUAUGUAUAUAGGCAUUUAUAAGCUCUGGAUUCAACAGAUUGUAUGGAUGUGUCAUAAAGAAAAAAGGUACGAAAUUGUAUACCACAUCAUAAUAUUUCUCCAAUUCUUCCUCAUUUUUUAUAGACCAUUCAUCCAAAAAAGGGUCGAACAGGAAAGCGUGGUGUUCGGACCAGUCGGACUCGGACUCGGACUCGGACCCUGACCCCGACCCUCGGGCUCGGAUUCGGACCUGUCAGAAUCGGCCUCGUCGGACUCGGUGCUGCGCACGUACUCGUAAUCCUCUUCGGACUCGUAAUUGGCGUCGAGGUCGUCAAACUGAAGUCCAUCCCGGUUUAGGGAUGACAUUUCGCUGGAAGAGGAUGACUUUCCUUGGUCGGCGUCUUUGUCCGCUACUUCUUCUCCGUCGAUUCCUCGAUCCUCCGCCGCUGGUUGAUAAACUCCAAGUUCUUCGUCGCAGGAAAGAAACUUUCCCGAAGCCAACUGAAGAGCAAACAAACCCUAAUUCUUUGGAUUUGCUUUAAGGCGAUUUCGAGGGCUGCGAAUCCGCGAUGUAUAUAUAAACGAACUUCCUUGUUCCUAAUAUUUUGUAUUCUUUUAGCCCUGACUCAUAAGAUGGAUUCUUCUUGGGCCCCGGGGUAUAAUCUAAAAUACUACAAUUUGGUGCUACACCUAUCUUGGAUUGCUUUUAUGGCGCAAAGCUGAGUCAUCUCUGCACAGUGGCUAGAAGUAAUAGGAAUAGGACAACACAGCUAGGUGGGGGAUAAUAGACAAAAAUGAAAAUUGUAACUGAAGGCAGGCUAGAACGGAUAAUGAACAAGAGGCCCACAGUUUAAUUUUAGAACUUCCCUAAAAUAAAGCCCGUCUUGACGGAGGAACAAAGAUGCCACUUUCCUUCUGAUUUAAUGCUUUUUUAAGUAUCCAAUAAUUUAUUGUCACGUAAACUUUUUCAAAUAUUCUAUUAUAAUAACAAUACACCUACAUUCACUAAGUAUUAUUUAUUAGUUAAUAGCAAUGGAUUUUAUUUUUUUUGAAUCCAUAGAGUGUUUUAUAACUAAAAAUAUAGAUAUAGGUUUACAUUUUUUUUCUUUUUCCUAUUCUUUUUUUUCUAAAUUUUCUUUACUCUCUUAAUUUCUUCUAGUAUUUGUUAAAUUUUUAUUGUUAAUUAAAAACAUCAAUUACAUUGGUGAAUAAAUAUUGAUUCCCCAUUAAAAUAAUAGUCAAUCAAACAAUGAGCUUACGAUAUUCAUUAGCUCAUUCCAAUUAGCCUUAAUCAAAUGAUAAGUAUCACUAUGAAUAGUUUUGAAACUCAUUCCUUAAGGAACCAGAUUACCUAAUGCCUUCUAAGUACACGAAAUAAAUUGACUUGUGCUAAACUUGAUUGAUGGUAUAUAAAUUUUUCGUGAAGAUUCAUGAAAUAUGCGAUGCCAUUCUCAAACUGAGUUUUGUUUUUAACUUAAUGUUUUGAGAGUAUGCAAAAUGAAUCAAUGACCAAUUGUUAGUAAAGAAAAAGAAAAAUCAAUGAACGAUUGGUACUUAAUAUUAUAUUAGUGCAUAAGAUACAUUCUAGGUCUGUGAAAUUAAUCAAAAUUAUGGUCUUUUGUAAAAAUAUUAUUCAUGAAAAUUAAGUUUUGUAAAGAAUAUUUAUGAUGUGGCGAUUAGUUAUUUGGUAAUUAAUUUCAAUUGGCCAAUUACUGACAUAAUUUUAGUUCAUAUUUUAAAACAGGAGGGUGUGCAAUUAAUUAAUUGACACAACUAUCCUUGAAAAUAUAGUUUUUACUCUGGGGAAAAAUUAUAUGCUCUUAAUAAUAAGGGUAUAAAUGAAAGUUUAGAAAAUACUAAACAUGUGUAAACACUAAAUGAUAAUGCUCAUAAUCUUUAACUUUAUAUAUUGUAUAGAUAGUAUAAAAAGGUUUAAUAUUUUUUUAUUGAAAGUAGUUCUACUAGUCUGAAUGCAUGUCACGUGUAUUUUUUUAAAGUUAAAUUCAAUUUUGGAUUAUUUUAAAAGUUUGUUUUUUAGAUGUUUUGCUUUCUUUCUAAUGUUUAACUCAUUGAAUUUUUUUAACACUUCGUUCAGUUGAACUCCCAGAUUUGCAAGGUCAGCUGAUGGCGUCAUUGCAAAUCUAUCGGACGAUUCAGGAUGUGGACUUAUGUUUACACUAUUUUUCAAAACUUGACUACGUGGUCGUGUAAUGAUGGAGCUUCUUCGUUUAACUAUGUUUACAAUUACCUGAAAAUUUAAAAAAUCCUUUUUAAACUUCCCUCUUGAUUAACUGUUGACAAAAAGAAAAAAAAAAAGAAAAGGAUGUGAGUUAGUAAAAAUUAAAGUAAUUCGAAUAUAUGUCCUAUUGGGGGAGCCCUUUUUGUGCCAAGGGUUGGCCUAGAAUGAGAAUGCAUCCUCUAGAGUAGCACUAUACAAUACCUGACGAACUUGAUCAACUUAUUGAUAUUCGAAUGAAAAGUAAUUUAAAAAAUUUGAUCAAUUGUAGUGACAAGUCCAUUUAAAACAUGGUUUAUUAAUCUCAUGAAAGUACUUGGAGCAUUUGUUAAACUAAAAGGCAUCAUAAGUCACUCAUAAAGACCAUACUUUGUUUUGAAAGCAGUUUUUCAUUCAUCUCCUUCCUUUAUCCUUAUUUGAUGAUAACCAGAUUUUAAAUCAAUUUUAGUGAAAAUGAUUGCUCCACACAAUUCUUCUAACAUAUCAUCUAACCUAGGAAUAGGAUGACGAUACUUAACAGUAAGUUUAUUAAUUGCAUGACAAUCUGUACACAUUCUCCAAGUCCCUUCUUUCUUAGGCACUAAAAUGACUAAAACUGCACAAGGACUAAGAGAUUCACGAACCUGUUCCUUUUCAAGGAUGGAAUCGACUUGCCUUAGGAUUUCCUUUAUUUUCUCCGGAUUUGCUCUAUAAGUUGGUCGAUUUGGUUGAAUUGCUCUAGGAACAAAGUCGAUUUGAUGUUCAAUACCUCGAAUUGGAGGUAAUCCUUUCGAUAGUUCCUCCCGAAACAUAUCCUUGAAUUCCUGCAAAAGAUGAUAGAUUGCACUAGGAAGAGAAUCGGUUAUGCCUAGUGUGUAAAAAGAAAAAUAAUCAGUUUCCCUGUACAUAAGUACUAUGAGAAGACUUUGUACAUUCAAAACCCUAUCUAUCUCACGCAUACUUGCAUAAAAGUUCUUUUUUUUUCACUUUCAAACUCUCGGCCUUACUGAAUCUUUUUCCACUCGAAUUUUCUUUUUCACUCAACUCGGCCUCUACUUUCUUUUUCCCCUUAUUCUCUCUCGCAUUCGGUUUUUUCUUUGCCUCUCUCGACUGCAUUUUCUCUCUCUCUUUUCUUAGAUGUAAUUGUUUUUCAUACACUUGUGUAGGUGUCAAGGGUGAAAGAGCGAUUUUGAGAUUGUCCAUAAUGAACUUAUACUUAUUAGUGAAUCCAAUAUGAUCAACCUGUUUAUUAUACUCCUAGGGACGCCCCAAUAAGACAUGACUAGCAUGCAUAGGAAUUACAUCGCAUAAAAUUCGGUCCUUGGAUGGACCAAUAGAAAAAACAAUUAAAACUUAUUUGAUCACCUUGACUUCCCCCCCCCAUCAUUUAACCAAAACAAACUAUAGGGUUUAGGGUGGUAAGUCCAUAGAAUGCGCUUUUGCUCAACAAAAUCGGCAGCUACACAAUUAGUAUAAUAGUCACUAUCAAUGAUCAUAAGACAUAUCUCAUCUCCAAUUUUGCAUCUCGUAUGAAAGAUGUUGGUCUGUUGGAGAUCAUCUUCUUAAGCUUGUGUAUAAGCACUCUCAUAGUCACUAUAGCUCGAGCUAUGGGGUCCUUUUCUAUUUCAACCAUGUCAUCAUCCUUUUCUUCUUUUUCAAACGAUGGCAUAUCAGCGUACUUCUCAUCUUCUUCGCUUUGUCACACUCCAUCUUUAUUCAUGUACAUGAUGUUUUGGUUAGGGUAUUAAGCCAUGAGGUGGCCAAUUCCCUUGCAUUUGAAACAUGCUUUUGGCUGGUUGGUAGAUGCAUUUGCCUCUAGAAGAGUCGGCCGUGGGGCUGGUUUAAAAGAAGUUACACUUGGAUUGGAAAUUUGUUCAAUCCACUUGUUUUUCCUUUCUCUAUUAUCUUGUCUUGGCCAAAUAUUGGAUGUUGGCAAUUGAUUUCUUCUCCAAGGAGUGAAAGAGAAUGUAGUGGUUUGGCAACUAGGUGUUUUUAUAGGCAAGGUUUGCUUUUCCACCUUCUCUGCAUAAGAAACCAUUUGUUAAAGUGCAAAGUGAUCUUGAAGCUCAACUUUCUUCCUGAUUUCAGAAUUUAAUCCAUUAAGGAAUCUCGCCAUGGUUGCUUCUGGAUGCUCUUGUACAUUGGCCCUUAUCAUCGCUACUUCCAUUUGCUUGUAGUACUCAUCAAUCGAAUUAGACCCUUGAGUGAGUCGUUGGAGCUGAUUGUACAAGUCCGUAGUAUAAUGGAAGGGUAUAAAUCGUUUCCUCCUCACUUGCUUCAUUUCAGUCCAAGUGUCAAUCGAUUGUUCCCUAUUUCUUCUCCUUGUGGCACACACUUGCUCCCACCAAAUAGAUGCAUAAUCUUGAAAUUCAACAACUGCAAGUUUCACCUUUUUCUCUUAAGAGUAAUUGUGAAUUUCAAACACUUGCUCGACUCGUCUAACCCAAUCCAAGUAAGUUUCAAGAUUAUUUUUCCCAUGAAAGGUAGGCAUCUUGGUAUUGAUGGAACCAAGAUUGUCAUCGGUUCUCCUAGGUCAGUCUCAACCUUCCCUUGCUCCCCUUUGGUUUUUUCUUGAUCGAAAUGAGGUGUUAAAUUGAUAUCCCUCAUCAUCUGCAUAAUGAUCAUCAUUCUGAACACUCGAAACUCUAUUGUGUGUAUCUCCGGUACCUCGCAUCUCAAUGGUAGCUAACCUGUCGGAUAAUUGUAUCAUCACAAAUUCAUGUCUCUUCGCUCGUUUUCGAAGAGUUUGGAGCACCAGUUUGUUUGACACGUCUGCCUCAAGUGGCUCAGGUAUAUUCCACUCUUGAGACAUAUUGUCAAACCUGCAAAACAAGUAUAUCCUAAUCUACCUUGCAAAGCACUCUUGAAUCACUCAAGGAAAACACACUCACUCCCAAUUUUCCUUCUCAAAAUUCUUAAAGAAAACUCAAACUCUCAAAAAUUUCAGAAUUAAGAAUUCAAACCAAACAACUCAAGACUUAACAAAAAAUUGAAUGAGUAAAAAAAUGUGACACUAAUAACUCCUAGAAAACUGGAAAUUCGACUCAAAUAGUGAAGACGCAAUUUUAAGUACUGGAGUAGUGACUCUGGAUGUACAAUAGGUUAGUUAAUUCACCUUGAUUCCAAAGAGUUGGAGUAAUCCGAUAUACCAGAAUUUCAAGAAAUUAUUAAUUGCCCUAUAAGCAAGUAAUAAGACACAAAGCAAAAUUUUGCAAAUCCUAAAAAUCCUAGAAUUCGUACCUUGUCUUGCUUAAAAAUUUAGUUUGCUGUUAGGUAGGUGUUUAGGGGUAAUGUCACGUGUGGUAGGUGGUUUUUCGGUGGUAAAAAGUGGAUUGAAGGGGUGAAAAAUGAAAAGUUUAGGUUGUUUAAGGUGUGCAUACACAAGGGUAAGGAUUGGUAGGUAUGAACAGAUGCGUUCACACUCGGUCCAUCCUUUCCAAAUAUAGAAAUUUAAUCUUAUCAGAUUUUGGAAGUCCUUUUCAAUUAAGAUUUGGAAUCUUUCUUUGGAUAUGAUUGAGACUUUCCAAUUAACAACUUUCAACCUUAAUCCAACAAGAAUUUGGAAACCAACAACAAUUCGAAUUUGGAAACGAUUUUUUUUCUUUUUGUUUUGUACAAGAACUCCAAGAUUCACGAUAUCUUGGUUCAACAAUCUCAAGUUAUAGUUCACACAAUCAAGAUAUUCAAGAAUGUCAAGAACUUCAAGAUUGAUUUCAAGAAUUUCAAGAACUGAUAGCGGAUAUUGCAAACAAAAUUCUCAGCAAUUAACAAUCAAGAAUUGAAAGAUACGUGACACAUAAACUAGAAACCCUAAGUUGGACAGCAAGAAAUAGAAACAAACAAGAAUGUUUUUUUUUUACUCGGAUGAACAGUAACGAUUAACAAUAACAUGAACAGUAUGCUACAGUAUGAUGAACAGUAUGUGCUACAGUAUUUUUUUUUUUUUUUUUAAACAAAAGACACAAACUAACAAGAUAUGAACAACUUCAAUUGAAAGAAAUUAACCUGAUGCUCUGAUACCAACUGAUGAACAACCCUAGGGAAAACUAUCCUAGAACCUCCCAACUCGGUAAUAUUAGAGUUGGACCUUUUCUCCCAACAGAAAUUGAACUCAAUUGUUCUCAUGAACUCAAGAUCUCUAACACACGAAGGUAAUCAGUAACCUUAAGCAAAUGAUGAUGGAUGAAGAGACACCACAACUAGAGAACAAACUAAUCGAUAAAGUUUGAUUUGAAUCCUAAUCUAUGAACUCAAGAAUUCAAGAGUAAGUUCGAUCAAGAACUUGAAGGAAAAAUACUCACGAUUUCUGGUUGUAAUUUUUCAUCCCUAAUUUCCGAAAGACAAAAGCCUUAUAUAGGCGUGUAAAAGACCUAAACUAAGCUGCCAACAAAACCUAAUCCGACUUGGAAUUUCCCUUGCUAAACUCGGCCCAAGUCCAAGUGCAACUUAGGAAAACCCUAAUCAACUUAACACAAAUAAUAACAUUGGUGCUUGACUAAAGCAAGCUUAUGACCAACUAGAUACUUAAGGACUAAAACUAGAGGACAACAUGUCCUUUGUGCGAUUAACAAGCUACUAAACUAGGCAGUUUUAAAAUAACUACUAACUAAGCUAACAAGUAUGAGAUCAUUCUUUCACUUCAAAUGUACAAGUGAACAAGGUGAUUUCAUGGUCCACCAAAUAUUUUAACUUAGCUUGCUCCUUGCUUGUAUGGUGAAUGAUCAAGACUCGUAAAGCUUCCUUCACCCUCUUAGAUUUUGAUCUUGUCAUCGGACCACCAAUGUUGACCAAAGAGUUGAACCCCGUAUCUGCAUCACUCUAUAAACACCCCAGGAUCAAACUCUUGAACCUAGGGCUCUGAUACCACUUUAUUCUGAUACCACUUUGUUAGCACAAAAAAUCACGGAGUAGAAGUGAUAUUAAAUUCUUACAAACAGUGAAUAGUAAGAAAGGCAUAGGAGGAAACAAAAUUUAGGAUUUCAAGUCCUUAAAUAAGAAAACAAAUAAUAAAAACUAUUGUAAUUCUAAUUCCUCAACAAUAAAACAACCAUAACUUAACUCCACUAUAAUUGCUAAAAUCCUAAUUUGACUAAAAGGCUGCUAAAUUAUUAUAUGGAAAUUUCUAUUUUUUAGGCUUGAUUUAAUAUGCCAAUAUUAUCUAAUCAGAUUUACAGAUUUUAUUAUUAUUUCUGUUAUGUGAUUUUUUGUGCUAACAAGCAAGAUUUUAAGGCGAUGAAAAGAAUAAAAUUUCGUUCAGUGCAACUCAAUAAAGAAAUUAAUUGUGCGCGUCAAAAUUUAGGAGUUUCUUAGGGUGGAGAAUAUGUUUGACAUAUGAAACUCGUAGUGCAAUUCUGAAAGGAAAAAGGAAAUGCAUUAAUUAGCAAAAUGAGUUAAUUUGUAACUGGAAAAUGGUUGUAUCUUAUGAACAAGCUACUUAUUAUUGUUUCUAUUUUCCUUGAAUGCCUAAAAUUUUUGUUACCUUUGGUAAAUAGCAGCCAUUCAUGUUGUAUGCUGAUAACUUAGAACAUGAAACAUGCAGUCUUGUGAUCAUGAGCAAAGUUUUGUGUAUUGAAAAGCCACUAUAUAUACGCACACACACACACACUCCUCUACCACUACUAGACUGCAUACAUUAUAUUCUAUCUAACUUAGAUUACUUUAAUUUCGUCAAGGAAAAAAGACUGUGAGUGGUUCGGGAUUUUUGCCAACUUGAACUCGAAAUCGGUGUUUCCAGGCGCUCCUUCAUCUUUCCAUAUCUUUAACCCUGUCAAAGAUGGAAAUGGCUAUCAAAUGGCAAUCAAACGGUGAUUUCCCUGUAGAUAACUGACCUUUUGCAAGAGUUUAACAGCAUUCAAUGGAUUCUAAUAACUGCUAAAAACGAUGAUUCUAUCUGUAAAUCAAACGUUAAUCCUGGAAGGAGAAGCGCAUAGCUCGAUAACGGAGAUUGAACACGAACUUUCCUCAAAUAAGGACGCGUGGAAAUACGAUAAAAGCAAAUAUUGACAUCAUGGCACUUACCAAAAGUAAAAAAGUAUGUACAUCAUAGAACGCGCAUAGAGAAUUAGAAAGUCAAGAAUUAUUUGCAAAAAAACAAAGGAAUUAAGCCAUUUUUUUGAGAUUAAAAUUACUCGUAAAUAUUAUAAAAAUCUAAUUUGACAAAUAUGCGGCGAUGAAUCAAUUCUAGGAUAGUGACAGCAAUCAGUAAGAUCAAAGGAUUGAUCUUGCUUUCUGUAAAGUUAGACUAGAAGUUCGAUUACAUGCCUUAAAUUUGCUAAAAGAGGGAGCAAACAAUAAUAUCAUCUAAUCAAAGACUUCUUACCUUAGUUUCUUGAAGUAAAAAGGCUGGCCUGUCCGGUCAUCUUCACCAGCUUGAACUUGAAAACCCUUUUCCCAAGCAGACCUUUGUCUUCCCACAUCUUCUCCACUGUGUACAAUCCAUCGUAGAAGUAGGUGGUGGAGGCCCUUGGUAACUUACAACCGCGGAUAACCCUAACAGGGUUCUUUGCCCUUAUGCUAUUCAGCAAUGCCAAGUUUCCACCUUUCAGCUGCUGAUCUUCAUGCAUUAUUUCCUUCCUGACCACAGUAUACAAGCGUAUCUUGAUCUGCCUUGUAGUUAUCGUAAAGCCCAGAAUCUAUGAUACUGGUCGCAAUAAUUCUUCCUCCAUCCUGCACAUACUCAAUCCCUCCUGAGACGGACGAUGCAGCCCUAAAAUGUACAGCUCCAUUCUGUAGUGGAAUUCAUCUCCAAUUUCCACUCCAGGGACUGGGCCAAGGAGGGGCUUAUCUGGGUAGUAAUAGAAUUUCUUUUUAAUCAUCUUUGCUGCCAUGAAAUCAACCCUCUUCCUCUUGUAAUUAUCCUCUUUAUCCAUCCUCAUGAUUUGGUCACAAAAAGCUCGAAUUCUCUUACAAUUUCCAUCACUCUCUGCCUGGCCCUCUCAACAUUUUUUGGGAGCUUUUUUCCCUGAGUAGAAGCAGUACUAGCAGCGGGUAACUGGGAAUGAUCCUUUAAGAUGAACUCAUUUUGCAUUCUUGGUGGUGAUCCCCAUCCUCUUUGUGUCUAAUACUGCCAGAGACAUUUUCUUCCGCCAUUGAUGUAGUUCCAAUAUCUUUUGGAGAGUUAAUAUGAUCAAUCUGGAUUUCUGACCCAUCAGCCUUGCCAGCAUCAGCCGGUCUUCUGAAAACUCCAUGUGGGACUUGAACUACCGGGAAAACCUUUCGACCCUUGUGAAAUCUGGUGUUAGAAAAAUGGCAAUGGCAAUGGCAAUGAUCUGUGCUUGUAUUGCCAACCUCCUCCAUUUUUCUCUUGUUCUGCCUUCUUCCUAGUGAUGAAGGCUCCAUGGUAGAAGUCUUGGAUUAUGGGCUUCUGUCACCAAACUCAAGCUGAUCCCAAUGGCUCCUUGGCCGAAGUAUUGGAAUUCAGCUUGAGCAACAGAAUAGGGAUGAGAUGAAGGUGGAAAGAGAGAAAUGUAAAGAGGGUACUGAAGGAAGAAGUUAAGGGAACUUGCAGAGAGGGAGGAAUUAUUCCAUUCACUCCAAGGAUUCUCUUACAAAUCAGUAAAAGUCUGCCAUUGCCAUUCCCGGGUGCAGAGCCGCACUACUAAUACUAGUGCCUGAGGCUGCAUGUAACGAACUGCUGACAUGGAUCAAUUCUGAAAGAUUCUUUCUAACGACCUCACAACACGACAAUUACGAAGAAAACGACACAGUUUACAAUUAAAUGUAAACUAGUAAAAUCAUAUUACAAUUAUAGAAUAAUCUCGAUCGAAUUACCAAUACUUUGGUGUCACCUUCAAGGGUAAAUGUCAAAAAGAAUGAGCACUGUUAUUCUUUAUGCACUCAUACAUAAAUGUGGCUUAAAUAUUUAUGCUAACGCCAAAAAGAAGUUCCUUAAAGUUGAAUUGUUAACAUGCCUAUGGGUUAAUAAGAUUACAGCUAUAAAAAUAUCAGCAGGAUGUCAGUCACACUAUUUGAGUAUAUAUAUAUAAUCAUAUUGUCUUGCUAUCAAUUUGCUCUUUUUCGGAUAGGCAAAUUGAUUCCAAGAACUUUGUUUUUACGUCCCAAUUCAGUACCAAUAUAGAUUUAUGUAUCAAAUUGCAAAUUUCUCAAGCAGGCAUGACCAUUUUCAUAAAUUAGCAGCUAAUUAUAUGUGGUCCCCUAUUUUCAUUUUUCACAGGCUAUCAGUUUGGGCAGUAAAUUAUUUACUUCUGCAUUGUAUUGUAUAACCCUCCAAGAAAGUGCUAAGAAAAAAUCAGAAUCCGAAGAUCCAUUCAAGAAUAACUAGUUCUUUAUCAGAAUAUUUUACCACAAGCUCACGUUCACUUUUAUGUGUUCCUUUGCUAAAGAAGAAAAAUUCCAUGAUGAUGGAGUCCACCAUUGGCCAACAAAUUGGUCCACAUGAAAGAGUUAAAGAGCACAACUUUUGUUUUCUAAUCACCUUUCAUCUAUAAACCUCGGAUUGCAUUCAAGUAUGUCCAGUAAGAAAAGGCUAAAAGAGAGCUGGGGUGAAGCUUUUUCCUUUUAAGUAGGAGUGGGCGGCAUUUUUGUCAAACUUUUCUCUUCUUUAUCUGCAUCAACUCUUCAUUUGAAUCCCAUAAUGAAGGGGCUCAUUAGUUUAAGCUCCACAUUUUUUAAGCUCGUUUUUUGAACGCUCAAAGUACAUGAUUAAUUAUUAGGCUGAUUGUGGUGCUUAUACAUAUAUACUUAAAGCAUGAAUUACCAAAGAUUUUAACACGUUUAGCAACGCUAUAAAGAGAGAGCAUGUGAAGGGAUUCCAUUUAUCAAUAGAGAUUAGAUACGCGAAGUAAUUCUUUAACUAAUUCGUCUACUUAUAUUGUAUUGAAUGCAUCUUUCUGCAUCUUCAACAUAAGGAGAUUUCUAUGAAGAGCUAUUUUCAUUUAAGUGCAGAUUUGGUGAAUCUCCUUGGAAUUGGAGGAGGUUGGAGGUAAGUUGUUGUCUCGCUUUUCUCCUUGGAAUUGCAAUGUUUUCAGGAAAUGUAUUGUUUUUGCGUUAAAAGAGAAUUAAACUGAUCAUAUUCUUACCAAUCAUCGUGAUAUGUAAGUAAAUGAUUGUAAUGAUAUUGUGUGAAUAUGGAGUUUGAACUACGAAUUUUAAUUUUUUUUGAUUAAUAAACUUUCAUUGAUCUUAAAAGAAGUCGGCACUAGUAACAGCGAUUACAUACAUCAUAUAUGAAAUGAAAGAAAUCUUCUUCGCAGACCAUAAAAUCAGCAAAACAAAUAACUCAUUUAUAAACUAUGCAAUUUUAACAAUCCAUGCUACGGAUGGUAACUGAGACAUGUCCAUGUGUAAGAGGAGGAAGGGGGUUGGAGCGAAGGAGGGGUGGGUUAGGGGAAGGGGAAUUUUUGCCUUAAAUAGAGCGGAGUGUCUCCCCAUCAAUUGCAUAAAUAUAAAAAUUUAUACAUAUAACAUAAAUUCCUGAUUAUUCGUGAGUAUAUAAUCUAUAAAUCUGAUGUUGGUGGUCUCUUGAAUAUUUGCUUGUUCUUAAUCCUUGAAUAUACAUACAUUAGAGGGUUCUAAUUGGAUUUUUGCUUGUCCUUUAAUUCUUGAGUUCAUAUACCAUUAAAGGGUUCUUAUUUAUGGGUGCUUAAGUUUCUGGUUCAUAGACCAGAUGGUUUGGCUCCAGUAAAUCUGAUAGACCCUAACGUUGUUGAUGCAGUGACGUGGUAGCAGAAGCGACUUAAUAGUAUUCGUUCAAAAAAUUAAGGUCCGAUUUGAUAACCCAAUUCGGUAUUUAAAUUUAAUGGAUUUAUAUUUUAGACUGUUUGAGAACCAAAAAUUGAACAUCUGAAUUAAUUAAGUGGUACUGAAUUUUCUAGGCAAAACUUGCUCCCAAAAUUAAGUGAUAAGUUAUUCACUUAUCACUAAAUGUGAUAUGCACUCAAAUGUAUUAUAUUUAAUAUUUAACAAUUCAAUAAAUUAAUGGAUUCAGUUUUCAGAUUUCAGACUUCAAUUUUUAUCAAAUACACCCUAAAUCCAUAAGAAAGAAUCAAGGGUCGAUCAAACCUUCCAAAGAUAACAAGAUUCAACAAGAACCUAAACAACUCAGUUAAGCCACUCCAAGGGACAUGGUAAAGCCAACAACUCAGUUAAUUUGAUUCAUUUGUAGGUUAAUACAAUAGCUUUAACUAAGCCCACCACUACUACCAGAUAUGUAUAAGGAAUAAGAAACUAUGAGAUAAGGAAAAUACUUAAUAAGAAACUCCUAAAUACAUCUAAUUAGAAUAGGAAACAAAAUGAUUAAAAACUGAUAUAAACUUCAAUUAUCCACUAGGUAAGGAUCCGCUCGUGGAUCCGUUUGGCGAGUCACAGAUCCCCGAAGUAGAUCCAAAUAGCACCUUCUAAAAUCUUAUCUAGGAAGGGGAUCCGUUGCAAACUUCUAUGAACUAGUUUAAAAACCAGUGCUAUGCACAGCUAUAAAGAAUGUUAUCAAAAAUAAAUAAAUAGUUAUGGGAAUAUAUAACACAUAACAAUUUAAUAAACAAUAGUUUAACCUAUGAAAUGUUAAACAUUUUUUAGCUACCCCUUACUGCUUCUGCCUUUAUAAAUCCAAUCCUUUUCCUUGCUGAAAUUUUUUUUUUAUAAAAAAAAAAAAAACAGUUUUUAGCUACCGUCAACCUAGAACAAACAUGCAUUACCAAAAAAAAAAUGGUAUAACACUUGAAACAUGCCAUAUCAAAUUGUAAUAGAUCCAAAACCAAAUUAUGUUUGCUAAAUGCCAAUUCAUUUCUCAUCCAUCAUGUCCAACAUUCAGAAAAUUCAAAAAGUAUUUUGCCAAAAUUUUAAUUUCAUUUCUUAAUGAUCAUAUCUAUUACCUUUGGCAUAAAAUUCAUACAGUAGUGGAUUUCUUUCAAGAAGUUAACAUUUUAAAUUUCAAAAUUUUUGUUUGUUUAUUUGGCCUAAAAAUAUUCAAUAGUCCAUGAUUUUACAAUUCCUCAUAUUUGUAAACCAUUAAUGUAAUGCUUUAAAUAUAUGCAAUUUAAGUAAUAGAACAUUGGUGAAUAAAGGUGAGCAAACUUCUUAAUCAAGAUAUAGAGUAUGACAAAUAGAAGCAUGCACAGAAAAUAGAAAAAUUGAUAAAAUUAUUUUUACUGUUUAAUUUUCAAAAAAAAUGUGUCAUCAAUGCAAUAUAAUGUAUAAUUAUCACAACUUUUUUUUUGCUCUCCCACCCCUUCCCACACCCUUCCCAUCCCCUAAAUUUAUCAAGACUAAUUACAUAUAUAAACUUCAAGAUUGCCACAAAUUUCUUAAGGAAAAACAAUAUAUAAUCUUGUAUUGGUAUUUCACUUGACAUAAGAAUAAGAAUUAAGUUCUUCUUUUAGUGAAAAACUCUUUUUUUUUUUUGUUUACUAUUCCAUAUCACAAAUAACCUUCUUACAUAAAAAUGGUUAAAGCUCUCUUUUUUUUUUUUGUGCAACCAAAAUUAGACCAUUGGUUGACUGCAUUUUAUAUUUUUAUUUUGAAUGGGAAUUGAAUUUCCUUCCCAUAGCAAAAUCAAAAAAUUGUACAUUUGUUGUUUCAUUUACUAAAUUUAUUAGUCAUUUUUAGCCUAAUAAUUGGAUAAGUUGCUUUCCAUCAUAAUAGUUUAAAAUGUUGUUUCAUUUUAAUUUUUAUUAUUUCACGUACUUUUCUUUUAGUGUAAGUGAAAGAUUUCAAAUUCAAGAUCUCUAUUGAUCUAAAAUGUACAGAUAUAGAAAUGUAAUAUGUAAAAUCUAGCAUUUGUCUAAAUAAUCUCAUGAUCAGAAAACACGAAUAAUAAAUAUAGAAACCAAAGUAGAUCUUGGAGAUAAAGAAAAAAAGACUCACAAUAGUAAUUUAGAUUAGUAUAAUACAUAACCAAAAAUAUAUGUGGAUCAAAAAACUCCUUUUUUUCUAUCAAAUGUUAAAGUCAUGUGCAUCAUCAAGGUGUUAAGAUUUGAAAUAAUUUAAAUUUAGAAAUGAUGAGAAUAUAGUCUAUAAUCAAGAUUUUGAAAUCAACUCAUUACAUUUUAGGAAUUAAAAUAAAUAAAAAAAAUCUACAAAAAAGGAAUUGAGAGCUUGGGAAGAAUUUGAAUUUUGAAAUAAUGAGAAUAUAGUCUACAAUCACGAUUUUGAAAUCAAUUCAUUACAUUUUAGGAAUUAAAAUAAAUAGACAAUCUACAAAAAAGGAAUUGAGAGUUUGAAAACAAUUUAAGUUUUGAAAUGAUGAGAACAUAGACUACAAUCAAGAUUUUGAAAUUAACUCAUUAAUUUUUUGGAAUUAAAAUAAAAAGAAAAUCUACAAAAAAAAUGGAAUUGAGAGUUUAGAAAUAAUUGAAAUUUUGAAAUGAUGAGAAUAUAGUCUACAAUCAAGAUUUUGAAAUCAAUUUAUUACAUUUUAGGAAUCAAAAUGAAUAGAAAAUCUAUAAAAAAGGAAUUGAGAGUUUGGAAAUAAUUUAAAUAUUGAAAUGAUGAGAACAUAGCCUACAAUCAAAAUUUUGAAUCAACUCAUUACAUUUUAGGAAUUAAGAUAAAUAGAAAAUCUACAAAAAAAGGAAUUGAGAGUUUAAAGGCUUAGGGUGGCUUUUAACCAAAAAUCCCUUUUGUGAUUUAUAUAGAUAUGGAUCUACGCACGGCUCCUUUUUUUUUUAACAAAAAUUUGUAUAAACUAGACUCCAGUCACUACCAUGAGUCAGGGUAUAAGCCGCUCACAGAGAUGCUUGUAUUCGCCCACCAACAAAACUCUCAUGUCGGUAGCGAAAUUCGAACACACCACCUUUUAUAAGAAAAUUACCCGUCCUUACCAACACAGCCCUCAUAUUAGCACGGAUCCUUUGUGAAAACAGGAUUUCGUGGCUUUUUUCUUCCUCUUUCCUCGCACUUCCUAAAACUUCCAAACGAUGCUCCAUAGACUCUCAUGUCGCCAAAGGACGUUUCGCAUCAGUUAAAGGACGUUUCGCAUCAGUUAUAGCUAGAGAUGGCAAAAUGUGCAGUAGCCAUGCACAACAAAAAGGCCAGUUCUAUUAGUACUAGACUAGUAGAAAUUGUAGUAGUAACAUGAAUAGCUCCAUAUCCAUAAGAAAAGUGUAGAUCUAACAUAUAUAACCAAAAUCAGAGAAUUCUAUGUGAGAGCUGACAGGAAAACAAGAGAGAAUAAGAACAAAAAAAGAGGGAUAAACUCUCGUUCAAAAAUUUUUUAAGCGAGAGAAAAGUUUCACUAGUUGUGAAUUGAUCAUUGAUUGUAAAUGGAUAGGUGCUAAGGUUUUUUUUUCGCCUAUUUCGGGAAAAAGUAGCAUUGGUAAAAUCGGGACGGAUGUAAUUGGACUUUGUCCACCGGGUAUAAACAUCUUUCUUUCUUUCUUUUUUAAUUGAUAUGUGUGGAAAGCAGGAUUAAACUGAGACAUAAUUAUUCGAGAUUUUUCUUGUCAUGGUUAAUGUGAGAAAUUACAAACUGUAAAAUUUGAUUUUUUUUUCUAAAAUCGACAGUGAUUUUCAAAAAUAAAAAUAUUAGACAGUUCCGUAAUAUUAUUGUUCAUGGAGGUUUGUUGGUUAUCCAUGGAUCCUAAUUGAGUUUUAAUCGUAGCGAUCCCAAAGACAGGUUUUCCAAAAUUAUAUGCUUCUUGUAAGUACUAAUAGAGAGAGGCAUUUCGGCUGCUUGCUUUGUGAAGGCGCUCAAUCUAUCUAUUUCUUUAAGUAUCCAACUAAAACUCAUUAAGGACACCUAUCUAUGGACAGGGCUACAAUCAAAUUGAAUUGAGUUUGAGUAGCGCAUGGUGACUUUAAAGAAAAGGUUCUUCAAGAAUUAUUUAAUUGAGUUUGAGUAGAAAGGCAUUUUGGCUUCUUUAUUAGUGGUGGCGCUCACUCCAUUUAUCUCUCCAAGGACCAAACUGAGACUCAUUUAAGGGAAGCAUAUCUAUGAAAUAGCGCUACAAUUGACUCAAGUCAGCUAAUAAAGGGAAGCUUACCUAUGAAAUAGCUAUGUUUUCAGAACCGGACCGGGUAUCGACUCGAUCGAAUUCAGAGAUUAGGGGUCAAUGGGUUCAACCGAGUUCGAUUGGAGUUGAACUGGAUGACGUCAUAAAUAAAAAUUAUUUAAAAAUUAAAAUAUUAUAUGUAAAAUACUUAAUAACAUGUUAAUAGUAAUAAAGGUAUAUUCAUAUAUAUAUUUGAUGUUUCAAAUAUAUUUAACAAGAAAAUACAAAAAAAUUAGAAUGAUCAAUUAGCAAUUUAUAUUAUUCAAUGAACAUUAACAAGUUUAGAAUUAAAAUUAUGGAUUUGAUUGAAAAAUAACACCAAACUUUAAGACAAUAUUUAUAAAGUAUGAAAUAUUUGAGGUAUAUUAAUAAUUUUAACAACCUAGGGAGUAAAACAUAAUAUUAAAAAUGUUUUGACCUUUCAAAAAAAUAUUGAGCUGCAGGACUGAGGCUGAGGUCUCUGCUGCCAUGUCAGGUAUGUGCUUCAAUUAAGAAGGCUGCCGGUAUAUCUUUCCAUCGGCCCACCAGGAUUCCCGCCGUUGGUACUUGCAAGCCGGCCUUGUUCAAAAUGCAAAUUUUCCUCUCAGUGGACUGUAGAGGUGGCAAAAUAGGCGGGAUGGGCGGGAUUUGCUUGGGUUUAAGAUAGAACCGAAUCAUAUGGGUUUGGGCCCAACCUUAUCCAUAUAUGUUUUGGGACUAACUUGGGCGGGAUCACUUUGGGAUGGGUUUAGAUUGAUCCGCCCAAUACCCAAAUCUAUUUUCUACAUAUUUUUUUCUUUAAUUUAUUUUUAUUUUUUAUAUAAUUUUAAUAUUUUUUAUUUAUUAAAUUUCUUUUAGUUUUAUUAAAUAAACAUGCAAGUGCUUUAUACUCAGGAUUAUCACCAAAAAUUGGAUUAACAAAUAAAGGAAAAGAUAAAUAUACAAUCAUGACUAUAAAAUUGUUAAAAAUAAUUUUUGAAUCUAAGACUCCGUUUGGAUUGGCUAUUUUUUCAAAAAAUAAGUUUUUCAAAUACAAUAUUACAGUAAUAUACAAUAACUCAAAAAACAUCUCAUCCAUAUUAGUAUAUCAAAUAUUUCAAAAAAAAUUUAUAGUAAAAUUUUUCAUAUACACUACUACAAUAAAAUAUUUCAAAAACACCCCCAAAAAUAGUUAAUCCAAACGGAGCCCUUGCUAUUUGAGCCCAAUGGGUACCCAAGCAUUUUUCAAAAUUUCCCAUCAAUUAAUGGGUACAAUUGGAAUUUGUCCCAUUUUAAACCCAAUAUCAAAUUCCAAUACCCAUCCCGCCCAAAAUCUCAAUGGGCAUGGGUAACCCAUUGGGAUUUGGGACAAAUUGCCACCUCUAGUUGAAAACCUACGAGUUAAAAAAGGAUUGAUCAGAAAUCUUGACAAAGCCUCCAAGGUUUGGCAGUGAGUUGUGAGUUUAUUGUUUAUGAAUCUUGAGCUAACAAUAGUGUAGAGUAUUUUAUUGUCAGUUUAUUUGUCUAGAGUCAAGUUUUAGUAUCUUUGGCUGUGAUUUUGUUGUGCCUACAUCUUUGGCAUACUACAACAACUGCCUUUUCCUUCCCAUGUUAAGAGAAAAUUCUGAAGAAGCUAAAGUACAUAUGCUUAAAGUAGUAAAAAAAAGUUAAACAAUCACACUUAGAACAAAAUGGCACAUUGCUAUUAAUUUUCACCGCCCUUUGCCUCCUAAAUUUUGCAAAAGUAAUCAUUGAUUAGAUUUGUGCAAAGUGCCAAAAAUUAAGAGUUUAAAGUGCAAAGUGUUCAAAAUUGAAAUUUAUGGUAUAAAGUGAAAAUGAUAUAAGUUUAGGGUGCAAAGUGAAAUUAAUCCUAUUCUUUUAUUCUCAACCCUUAAGUUCUUUUUUGUAAUUGUUGCUAAAUAUCAAAUUUAAGAGCACCAAAACAAAUUUUGGUCCUUUUUAUAUGCUAAAGUACAUAUGGUUUAAGAAUUUCACCAUUUAUUUUUCUUCUUCCUAGUCGUGUCAUCUCCAUAUCUUUUUGAAUUUUCUACUGAUUAUUAAGAAGCACUAAUUAGUAUAUACUCCCUCCGUCCCAUUGUUAUUGUCAUAGUUCACCUUUUUUCAUGUCCCAAAAUUUGAGUCACACUACAAUUUUUUUCUCUAACAUUCCAUUUGUACCCUCAAAAGAGACAUUGAUAAAACAAAAAACAAGUAUGAUGGAACCCACAAAAGCAAUAAAUAGACAUCCAAAAAAAAGGUGCGUGGACAGCACCAAAAAUUUUGAUGGCCACAAACAGGCGCGUGCUUGGCAACAGCAUGAAAAAGAGCUUACAUUUUAUAUGGACCCACAGAUUCUUUUCACAUCACCAUAGACAGCAAUUAAGAUUUGAUAUCGGUCAAAGGGGCACGAUUGGAAAAAAAUGUCUCACAUUCAAAUUGAUUGAACUGUGCAUAAUAAGUUAGAAUCCCCAAAAACGUCCCUUAUUUUGGGACGGAGGGAGUACAAUUCAAGGAAUUGGACAUAGUAACAUUUAUGGUUCCCUGGAUUUUAUACUUUUCCCUGAUAUAAAUUACCAUUAAAAAAAAUAACAUAAUCCUUAAACAAUCCUUUUCUUAGAAUUUUCUUUAAUGCUACCAUUCAAUGAUUCAAAAGAGAUUUAAACGGAAAUUUUUAAAAUUGCACGCAUCUCCCUUGCCUUUGUCCACAUGAUGCCCAAUGAAAUGUUUUCCUGAAGGGGAAUUCUAAUGAAAGUAUUUGAGCAAUAGUCUCUACUCACUUUUUAGUUUAAUUUGAUGCGCUGCAAAUAAGCAUCCAAUAAUCAAUUACAACAUUAUAAAAUACAAAUUUGUUAAACAAGUCAUUCACUAGUUAGGUUCUAAUGAAAAGAUUUUAGUACCUUAAAGGUACUUUGGAUUGGCUAUUAUUUGCAAAAAAAAAAAUUAUUUAUUUGAAUCACAAACAUAUUUUUUUAAUCAUCUUCUUAUCUAGUUAAUCAUUAUCACACAUACAUCACAUUACAAAAAAAAUGGUAGAGCAAUUAUUCCCAAAAAAAAUUAUAAAUAAUCUUAUAUCCAAACACACACUUUGUUUGGCAAAAUACCUCAUUUAGUGGUGGUACUAAACCUUGUUUGGAUUGUGAUUUUCACAGAAAAAUUUGUACAUUUUCCGUGAACAUAUUUUCCAAUUAUCUUUUUACCUCACACAUAUCAAAUUGCUACAAUAUAUUCUUUCUACAAAAACUCUGAAAAAUAGCAAUCCAACUGGUUCAAAGAAACGAGUCUAUGUACAACCUAGAAAAGAAUAGAAGUAUCAAUGAGUCUAAUCAAAUCGAGGAUUCUAGUGUUAAAACUUGUUUAUUAUUUUCACAAAUUUAAAAUUAUGUUUAACCUUGCAUUGUUAUAUUUGUCAAGUCCAAAUCAAAAACUUUUACCUAGUCAAAAUGAAAUAAACUUUUACCAAGUCGAGUUCACAUAAUUUGAAUUUUUUACAUAUAAAAUUAAAUCUCAAGUAAAUCAAGUCGGUUUAAAUCAAGUUUGAAACUUUAACACCAAAAACUGUUCAUGUUUGGCAUGAUUCAUUAUAAAUCAAGCUCAAACAAAUUUUUUUCUAACCGAGCUCAGCCGAGUGUUGGUUUGUUUUUCACCAUUAAGAAAGAAAGCGAAAUCGUUUGUUGAAAAAAAAAAAAAAAAAAAAGAAAGACAGGCGAAAUGCUAAUGCCUAGAAGUUAAUUGGGGCAAAAUAAAUUUAUCUCAAAAGAAAAAAAAAACCCCACUAAAAGGAAUUUUUUAAUUAUCUCCUCUCAAAAAAGACCCCGCCGCAAUUGGAUUUCAAAAUCAUUCAAACCACCCUGGACGGCUGGACCAGAUGGUCCCCACUCAAUCCAGCCCUGCUCCAACUACAAUUAUAUGUGAGAAGGAGCUGAGUUGCUAGUAGCUGCUGCACAAAUCAACUGGUGAAACUUGAAACCAGAGAAUACAGAUGUUCAGAACUUUUGGCACAAAACUGAAACCAGUUCUCAACUUGAGUACCAGAGUAGUCAGUACUCAGUAGGACGAAGGUGCUGCCAGCAAAGAACAUUAAACAGUUUUGAAAAAAAAAAAAAAAUAGGAGUAGGUGUCUCAGUUUUUUUUUUCUUAAAAAAAAAGAGAGAGAUCGAUGAACAUUAAAGUUUUUGCAUUUAAAUUGGAAUGAUCAACAAAGUUUUGCAACGAACAUGAAAUUCAGUUACCUAAAAUCAUUCAAUCUUUUCAUCAGAUAAGAUGUAAUCUACAAUCUCUUAUCUUGUCCACAACACUGAAUCUAUUUCAUUUCUAGCAGCCUUGUACAACUCCAACUUCCUAGAGCACUGCUGCCUCCUUUCCAUUAACACUGGAUCUUCAUCCAAUAACUGAGCAAGCUGACGACAAGAUAAAAACAAUUAAACUCAAAGCUUUGUACAAAAUCCUCAUUCUAUGACCUAUCAUUAGCAACUUUGUGUGUAAAAUUGGCUUUGAUGCAAAUUUUUUUAACAUGUAGUAACAAAAUUUGACUGAGAUUACGCCCAAUGAGUGAAAAUAUGGAAUUCCAACUCAUGAAAAGCUUUUGAGAAAACUCGUUUUGGUCCACUGCGUAGUUCAAACUGUCAAAGUGUUUUGACAGCAGUGAUUCAAAGACCAACCAUUUCCUCCAAGUGGUUUCAGACUAGAUUUAGUUCCGAUUACUGUUGCUUCAGCAAAAACAAAUUAGAGUCCAGUGGAAAUCGUCCUGAUAUCUCCCCUCCCCUCCCCCACCCCAAAAAAAGAUAAACCAAAGAAAAAGAGAAAAGCAGAAGAAAACAAUCAAUUGACCUCCUGUAACUAAGAUGUCAGAGAAGGAUAUAUACCUCCUUUUUGCCAACUUGUGUAAGAAGUGAUCUAGUAAAGUUCGCUUCGCCUCUUGAACUUGACAAUAUACUACAGCUUUGGGAAUCGUGUUCUUGAGAGUCUCAGACACCAUGCCUACAUAGGAGGAAUCAUUUGAACCUAUGAAGUGCCCCUCACUGUAACGGUCAGCACAGAGACAUUUGGAUUUCCACCUUUUCGGCUUCUUGCGGGAGUUUUCUAAAGAAAUCCAGUGAGGUAUGAGGCCUCCAUGUCUACCAUUCGCAACACAGUCUUCUUGCUGUCAUCACGAAACCUUUCCAAUGCCUCAUUUGCUGCAGCUACUAUUUCUGCCUGGAGAGUUGGAAAACGUCUAAGCGCCUGCAUUUUAGAGUUCCAUCAUCAACUCUCUUUUGACGAAUAAAUGUUCACAAAUGUCACCGGGAUGGACUUGUGACUUUUACCUGUGUUUCUCGAAUUGACUUGCGGACAAGCUCCUUCAAGAUGAAGUGUAUCUAAGAAAAACAAGCAAUUACUUUUGCAAAACUAUAGAUACAGACACCAUCUCUUUGCAUAUAAGAAAAUUUGUUUUGCCAGCAGUAUUUUCAUUUAUUCCAGUUGUACACUUGAAAUAAAUCCAUUGAUCCAGUCUUCAAACUUUGACCUCAACCCAAGUAUAAUGCUAAUGUGUUAGUCUUCUUAUCAUAUGCCCAUUUACUGCCAAUGGACUGCUAAUUCUUCCUUACCAGAAAUGGUCAUUAAUCCAACCAAAAUAGGCAUGCUUAAGCAGUUAAUGAGAAUCCAUUAUCCAAGUGAUACAUGUAGACUGAAGCACUUACUGCAUCAACUGAAGCUUCAGCCGGACCUCUGAAAUAACUGAGAGAACUCUCAAUCAGGCGUCUGUAACCUUGUUCUGGUGCUAUAAGAUGAGGUUGGUAUCCAUCUGCUUGACAGACACUUUCUUUACAUUUUGUAGUGAGAGAUGCCAAUCAAAAGGGAGCUUCCUCAAAGCAAUAGGGAGUUGGUGGUCAAAAACUACAUAAAUCCGAUCUCCCCCUGGCCGCAUAUCAAGAGAAGUAAUAGAUGCUUAACAUAACCAAUAUGGGAGUACAGAUGCUUAUUCCGUGAAAAAUGCAAAAGUAAAAGCGGUACGCCUAUUUGUGGAGAUUUAAAAAUCUCAUGGUCAAACUUUUAGUGGAAGUUAGUAUAGUGAGAUCACAAAUUCUUGUAAUCCUCAUAAGGGUUUCAAAAAAUUCAAUGUAGUCAACAGAUGUUGAAAAUCAUUCAAUUUACUCCAUCUACUUCACAGUUUUUAAGGAUAAGGUCCUAAAAUCAAUUUUAGAUUGCAAUUUUCCUAAAACAAUUUAUACCUCCAUCUUAUUCGACUGCAUGACAUGGUUUCUUUGCACGAAAAGGACCUUAAGUUGCAAUUGAAAACUCUGGUGCAGCAAAUAUUAGUGAUAGCGAAAGGACUGGUAUGAUCACUUUAAAUUUGACUGCAUUAGCAUUUCUGAAAACUUCACAGUCUAGCAGGCAUAAACAAAUUUUCCUAUAACAGCUGAGUUGCUAUUUCAAACAUCAUGUCGCCAUCAAUUGUAUAAUCUAAGAUGUUUAAUGCCCAAACUUAAGAAACAUCCAGCCAGCAGGACGUGCAAUGACUCAACCAAAUGGCUGGUGUUACAUGGUCUUCAGUCGUAAGUGGCUGCAACUACAAACUGCAUGCUUGCACAUUCUUUUCUUGGCAAGUGAUAGUGUUAUUGCCAAUUAAUUAUGGAACCAAAUGGUUUCUAAGAAUCAAAUAUUCAAGUUGAUUUAAUUCUCUAUUUGAUGCAUUAGACUACUUUUUAAGUGAAGAUAAAUUUUCUUUAUACAUUUGUGUACUUCUCACCCCCCCCCCCAAAAAAAACCCUUUUUUUUGUUUUCUGUUUUGUAGGCCAUGGGGGUGGGUGGGGGAGUGAGUAGCAAACAGUUGCACGAGGUGAGGCUGGAAGAAAUACGUACCCUCCUUCAAGGUGUUCCUUGAAUACUCGAUCAAAUGCCCGACAGAGCUCCAAGAUUGUGUAUAACUGGGCCUACAAUAUUGAACAAAUUACUCAACACAGAAAUUGGCAAAAUGUUUAGACAAAUUUACCAAAGUAGGUAUAUGUCCUCACCCCUUCAUCUAUUGAAACAGGUCUGCCAAAAUGGGUAAGAUCUGAUUUAAGUUCAUCGGUAGUUUUGUUGAUCAAAGACACAAGACUAGGUAUGCGGGCCUUUAUCACUGAUUCUAGGUGCUGACACCACAGAUAUUUUCAAAAUAACUAUUAGUGAACUCUAAAUUAUUCUAAACAAUGGAAAAAUAUUGCGGCAUUUGUAAGCAAAACAUAAGUGCAAACAUGUACCUUGGAAAGAAGUUUUGCGAGAUACUCUGAACCCAUUCUGCUGGCCAAGUGCCCAUAUUCAGGGCUAGUUGCAAAGAAUUCCCGCUCCCUAUGCCUGGUGGCAAUCAUGUCAAGAUUUCUGUUUAUGUCAGCUUGUUAACGGUUAAUGACCCCAACCCAGGGAUGUUGCAAUCGGUAUGAUCUUCCUUCAAGUACCUUGAUGGAAGAAAGGUGAACCUUGAGUGAGUAAUCUAGAGGCAGGGUGGGGAGGAAUUCUAAAUCCUGAAAUGGCAUCUAAAUAAAGACAUUGCUAGUCGCUCAAAUAGAACAGAAUAAAAACUGGAAAUUUUUUUUUUAAAAACUGUAAGUUAAUAAUGUUUGCAUACUCAGAAAUCUUACUGUAGGAUAUAGGAAAAAAGAAAAACAAAAAAAUAGAGUGGCCAUACUACUACAUUCCCUGAGAACUACAGGCGAAAUUUGCAGAGAUAAACAAUAUGGUAUAGCUUUAAUAACCAACUGGCAUCUGCAGUGGUGACACUUAGGUGUGGGUAAUGAAAACAAGUAACCAAUCGACAUUCUUCACAGGCUCGAAUGGAACUGCAUCCUAAUGAAAUAUAUCUAUAAUACCCUUGAUAAUUAUAACUUCCAAAAGUAUAAAGGACUCAAGUGUCAGUUUUUGUCUUCGAAAGGAAACUACAUAUAAUCAUCCAACUCAUGCCUGCUCUAACUUCAGCUAAUUCAAGAGCAAUUCCCUGAAAAACUAAAUAACCUGCAACAACUCCAUCUAGUUUGGAGAUUCAUCAUGUUAACACAACAAUCAUGAAGAUCCAAAGAAUUUAAACGGUUGCUUCUAAAAUCCCUUGUCAAUCUUGAGCAUAUCUAAUUAGAAAUGACCUAAAAAAAACAUAGAGCUUGACUCUAAAAAUGCUGAUGUUAAACUCCAGAUAUUGAGAAAGAUGACAACAAAAAGAAAGUUGAGUAAGAACCAACCAGAAAACUGGCUAAAACCAAGUUUAUGGAACAAUGUUAGGCACAAUACCUAAUAUAUUGGUAGAAGCUAUCUUGCCAAACAAUAGAUUGAUAUAAGCAGUCACUUUCAACCAGUCUAAGACAAACUUCUUGGAGAAAGUAAAGACACUUACAUCCAGAGCAUUUGUUCCUUUAUCCAUCAAAUCAAGCUUUGUCAACACGCCAAAGGUCCGUUCUCCGGUAUAUAGGAUGCAUCAAUAGUGAAAAGAACCAAAAAUUAUUUCCAAGAAUACAGCCAAUAGGUUAAGACGAGAGAGUGACGAAGCAAGUUUGUUAAAACUCUACCACAGAAAUUACCUGCUGGAUCAACUUCUCGUGCAAUCUUGAUAGCAUCAGAUGUUGCAAGAUCUUGAUUGGCAGGAGUUAUGGCCAAGAUGAUUGUAUUUGGCUACAACCAGAAACAAUAUGAUCAGCAAUCAAAUGCAAAUACAAACUGCAAUUUUGUCCAAAAUCGACAAAUUCUGUUCUUCAAUUCCAGUUCAAGGGUGUGCUAAAGGUUAAGAAAAUUCCAGUGAAGAAGAAUCUUCUGUCAUUAUAUAAAAUGACACUUCAUGCUUACAAGAAGCUGCUUAUCAUGUCUCCAAACUCAGAAGUUACCUUCAUAUGCUUCCAAAUCUUAUAAGGAGAGUCAUUUACCGAAUCAAACUAGAUAAAAAAUGAUAAUGAGUGGCACACCCAAAUCAAAGUGCUUCAGUUUUAGUAUAAGCAUCAAUCAAUAGGAUCAGAAGAGUUCUCUGAGAUUUAGCUAUUCAAUGAGAGUAUUUUCCACAAAAUAUGACAGCAUCGUUCUACCUUCUCUACAUAUGAGCGAACCAUAUUUUCAAUUUCUUGGACUAUGCUUUCAUGCUGUCCCUCUGCAAACGCAAACUUGUAAGUAAGACAUAAUGAUUGUGCAACAAAGAAUAACAGAAAAUUAGCAAAAAAAGAAUGACAUACCCACAGCAGCUUUGGUUAAACCAGGUAAAUCUACCAAAGUUAAAUUUACAACUGCAAGUAAAGAAAUUAAGCGAAAGGAAAAGAUAUUGUUAGUGAAGGAAUGAGAUAAUAAUAUGAAGAAAACCAGAACUGCAAAAUUAAGGAUCACCAAAGUAAGAAAUCAAUAUCUUAAACCAUAAUCGCCAAAAGUUAAGAAAUCAUGAAAGAUUUCUCAAAUUAAAACGCACCAUUAGGGGAGUAGAUACUGAGAUUAAUGGGCAGCGCAGAGAUCUGCUUAGCUUUCCCAGUCACCCUGUCAGUUUCUUCCUGAAUCUCUUUCCCAACGAUGGCUUCACAAGAAAAGCAUAAUGAAUCAAAAUGAACAUGCUACUAGUGUACGGGUGUGCAAAAAUGUCUUUUAUGAAGGUUUUUCACUCCACUUAAAGAAAUGGAAAAACCACUAGGAAAAAAAUCUAAGAUGAUAAAAUGUCUACCAGUGGUAAGGCACUGUUACUUUCAAAUGACGCAGAUAUGGCUAUGUUGCCACGUCACCAAGGCAAAAGCUGACAGCUAAUCAGAAAAUAAACAGAUCAUCCUAUUCUGCAGUUUAAUGAAUAAAAAGAGGCAAUUCAUGCAGCCUUACACCUGCAAGUUAAGCAGCUUCGUUGCAUUCAACUAGUGAUUUUCAUUUCACUCUCAAAACUAUCCAAUGCAUUUACAAUAUUCACAACAUUACCAUUUAAAACAGCAGAAGAAAAUAACUUACAAAAGUCUAUGAAUUUUUUCUCUCCAGUAUGAAGAAACUGUGCAUAAUCCUCUUUUCCAGGAUCUAUCUUGUAGAGUUGCAGUAUCAGAGGCCUUCUCGUUACAAUCCUACAAGCAUUAUAAAUUAAAAACCCAUAAGCAUAAUUAGUCGCUCCGAAGAACACUAAAAUCAGGAAAAUUGAAGCAAGGGGAAUAAAUGAUAGACAUUUGCUCUGUUUAAGAGCUGUGAUGCAUUCAAACUUCAUUCUUAAUUUCCUCAAACUCCCUCAGCAAGAAUGACGCUGGUAGUUAAUGAUGUGAAAUCCAUUAACAACACGCGAUGGCCUCUCGCAUUUAGUAUUCACCACGAAAGCAUUUCUACUCCAACAUCAAACUUGUAACAUUCGAUCAUCAUAAUGCAACUAACUCUCUUAAUUAGCAUCAAUUAAAUCACAAAAUUAUACACACAAUGACAAAAGGCAACGAGAAUGUAAAGAUAAAGAGAAUAAACAAGAAAAAAUAGAGAAAAAAAACCUGAUCCUCUAGGCAGAAAAUCACGCCCAACGAAGCUCUCCAACACCGAUGACUUCCCCGAACUCUACACGUCAUGAGCAAACCAAAUGGCAAAAAGAAAAUUCAUAUUCUUUUCCAAAAAAUAUUAACUAGUCAUCUACUUGCAUUCCUAAUAAACUCUGCCAAAGAAAUCAAUAUACAUUAAAAUUGAAGUGCAUAGAAACGCACAAAUGUUAUGCAUGUUCGCUGUACGAAUUUAUAUAAUCACAAUUUUACUGCUACUCACUCUAAAAAAACCUUAAAAAACAUUAAAAACAGAAAACACUUCAAAAUCUUCCACCGGCAACUUCUGAAGCCUCGACUCCUCCUCGGGUGCACACACAGCAAGACACAGCAGUAUGUGAUGCUGUAAAAAGUAUAUAUACAGAGAGAAAGAAGAAAACCUGGCCGCCGAGGACGACGAUGGUGGGAGAGAGUCCCAAAGAGUUGGCAAAGAGCCAUCAUCGCCAUAAUCACCGAGAAGAGUACAAGCUUUCUGGAGUGUAUUCACAAGUCCGAUCACACUUUCCAUCUCGCUACAUGUACCCAAGCUAGCGGGUGCCUGAGGAGUUCCGGCGUUCAAAAAUUUUCCGACGCCGGUGAAGAAGAGAAGCAGUAGGAGGAGCUGGAGAAGAGGUAGGGGUGAAGUAGAGGGGAGGUAGAGAAGGAAAAUGAGACAAGUAACGGAAGCUAUUUUAAAAUUAUUAUAUUUUGACCUGUCAGGAAAUUUUUUGUUUAGUUUUAGAGCGAGAAAGUAGAGAGUGGGCCUUUUUGUGCGGCAGUUGUUGGAGCGAAGGGAUUGUGGGAUAAGAUGCAACUCAUCCGCAUAUGUAACUGAGAAUUUGCAGCUAUGGUGGUGCCUCUCUCCAUUUCGCCUCCUCUUUGUACAGAUCUGAGCCUGAUUGAUCAUUGCGUAUCUCUUCUUUAUAUCUUUUAAUUACUCGAUUAUUUUUGUUCCAGUCUUGUGGCACGUUGAUUUAUUGGUGGAUGAAUUCCAUUGGAAACAAUACAUUGAUAGGCCUAGAAACAUCAGAAGGAACCCGGAAAUUUUAUGCAGCAAUUAUAUGUUACGAAACAUUAAUUUUGACUUUUACUGCAUUGUCAUGUUACUGCAUCGUCAAUAAGUACAGUCUGCAGUGAAUCAGCAUUUGUUUGAUAUAAUGUAAUUUCUGUUUCAAUUUUGGUUUUAGGAAAUUGAUAUUGGUCAUGCACUGAUUAAUUUCUGGCAUUGAUAAGCACUUCUAAGUUCCAUAACUUGGUUCUUGAAUUAUUCACUGGACAAAUCCUUACUGGGGAGACGAAGACUUUAACACAUUUCACUCUUCAUUCAUUUUGCAAAUUAUAUUAGUUUCUCUGAUUUUGCACAUGCACUUGGACUUUACCUUAAUUACCCUGCUGCUAUAAUGCUUUGCUUUAAUGGAUAUAGCAUCAACAUCUCUAAGGGCACUUUGAGCUUUGACACUGCAACUUAUGAUUAACUUCAAGUACCAGGUGUGCUAUGUUUCUCCUCUUCCCCCUCUCCCGAGAGCUAUGUUGCAGGAUUUUGAUAGCAUUUUACUCAGCGCAACAAAUAUCAGUUCCAAAGAAUUGUAGGAUCUUCAGCAUUCACAUUUGGUUAAUCCACUAUGGUAUAUCAAAAGAGAGCCGAUGUCAACAUGUAGUAAAAAAUUAGCAAAAUCCUUAGUUAUGUUGAUUUACAUUUUUUAAAGAAGACGGAGCCCAAUUGUUCAUUAUUGCUAUCCUUUGCUGUUUAGGUUUCGUUUUAAGCACAUAUUGCUAUCCUUUGCUGUUUAAGUUUCUUUGACUCUAUGGAGCAUGUAUCAUGAUAUAUUGAUUUAUGCCUUUUAAUGUGCUUUGCUGUUUAAGUUUCUUUGACUCUAUGGAGCAUGAUGUAUCAUGAUAUAUUGAUUUAUGCCUUUUAAUGUGCUUUGCAUUGCAAAGCUAUCAAUCAUCAUACUUUUGAACUAAAAUAUUCUCGACUAAUAUUCCAAAACAAUAUAAAAAAUAUCACAAAAACAAAUACGACUUUACUAACAGGUCUAAAGUUCCAUCACAUGGUAAUACAAAUAAAACUCAGCAACCACAUGGUAAACGACCAUAACAAUAAACUCAGACGCAGGCAUAAAACAAAAGGACCAAAUCAUCAAAAAGUAUUACGAGUCAACGACCACACCAACAAAAACAAAAUCAGCAACAGCAACAAAAUAAUUUCAGCAUCUAAGUGGACAAUAUUCCCAAGUGAUUUCAGCAAAGAUUCAAAUCUCCACACACAAUAGCAUCCACUCAAUUCCCAAGUCGAUCAUGAAAUUCAACCUCCUUCAAACGCAUUUGCCACCACCCUCGCAUGGCUCCUAGACCCAAAAAUUGGAACAAUUAAAGCACUGGAAAACAUUGAAAAAUCCCCACAAAAAUGAAGAUAAACCACCACCACUAGUUUACCUUUAACUGAAAUAACAAUGGUUAAAUCAUACUAAACUAGAAACGUCUCAUCUAGGGGGGGGGGGGGGAAGAAUGAUCAUCUCAUUUUUGCAGCAGACAUGGAAUGAGCCUAAAUGGCCGCCGAUACUUGAUAUCUGUAAUAAUCACAUGGAACAACUAUUUUCAAGGGCCUUCUAGUUGAAUAACCACACCAUAACAAAAUGUUUUGCACAACCAAACAAUCAGUAAAUCAACUAUCAUGAGCCAACCAUCUGUUAAAUUACAUCAUAUCAGAAUGAGAACCAGAAUCAGAAUAUGAUUCAUUUACCAUGUGAUCAGGCUGCUGAAAACAUGUCAAUCUAAUUGGUUUACAACUUAAAAACUAAUGACCAAUUGAGAUGGUCCUAACUCCAAUCCUUAGGCAACGUGCCCACGUUAUACCGAGUAUUCGAUUAGUUAUUGCCCUGACAAUUUAAUUUAGCAGUCACAACUCCCUUACAGAGGCCAGGUAUUAAACUUGAUAAACAACAACGGCUCGUAUCUGUUGCACAUCUUCUUUAUUUUUCCCCCACUUUUUACGAGGGAAACCCAAGUGCAGUUAACAGACACAGCAGAAACCCAAAAAGGGCCAAAAAAGUAAAAAGUGAAAUUAGCACCAUGCAGGGAAGAAAAAACUACCAAAAUCGUGUCAGUCUGCAAUGGGUGGUGGUGGCGGCGGCAGCGGCUCCAGGCUGGUUGAAGGAAGAAAUUAGGAGCAUAGCGUUAAUAAUAGGAAUUGGUUGCAACUAGCAGGUAGAAGUCUCGGUGGUAUUGGUAGGUGGCAAUGAAGGGUUAGUGAGUGAUGGACCGGUGGGUAUAAGAGUAUCGAGAAUGGAGACGAGAGAGAACAAGAAAACAGCGGAUUAAGUUAAGGUGAAAGGUGGAAAGAGUGAAAUUAGUGGAGUGGUGUAACUACGAACCCUAUUACGGUAAAAAGACUUGUGUACCACGGUUUCCAAUCAUGAGAAAAUCUCAGCUCAGCUCCUUUAAAAUUCAAACCCUAUUUCGUAAGCUGAGCAUGAGCUUAUCCAAAAAUUGAACCCAGCCUUUGCUACGGGAUCUUUGCAGCCCUAAAAGUCAGAGAAUCUUUCGAGCUUUUGUUAUUAUAUCCAAUUAUGACACUACUGUUUAAUCUAAAGCUUUUUUUUUUUUCUUUCUUUUUUAACAGAUUAUGACACUACUGUUUAAUCAAAACUAUACAUAAUAUUUUCAUCAGUCCAUAUGAGACAAAUCCUGUUUUAUAGGCCAACCAUGCAUCUUCAGUAAUGAAACCAAAUCUGAAUUCAACAACUAAAAGAUUCUGCUUAGGACUCCACACUCCACCCAGUACAUGCUUAGGACUCCAAACUUACUUGCUGCAACCAAAUGCCAGAAGCAUUGUCAAUAUUGACAACUCCAAAAUCCAGGGCAAGUUGCAGAUUUAUGUCACAAUCUCUACUACGGUACAACUCAUUUUUGGCCAAUAUAUCUGGUGAAAACCAAAAAGUUUUCUUUUUACUAUAAGAAACAUAAUUAACACCUAGGCCAACUACUUACUGUUUGCCAUCCAGCAGGCAAUGCACAGCCAUUAGUGGCAACCAAAGCAGGAAAGUAACAAAAUGGACAAACAACACAUCCACACUACAGAAGCCGAAAGAGAUCAAUAUAAAGCUACGAUGGUACCUUAGGAAUUUUAAGCCUGCAAAGGUAGACUUUCCUAUCACCCCCAGCAGCAGAUUCAUGCACACACGCUUGGAAUUCCCCCACAUCACCAGUAUUGAAAUCCUUGGCCACAAAGGUCAAAUAGAACUUGGCGCCCCCAGCUGUAGUGAGAACGCAAUUCAAAAUCUUGCCUGCUCUAAAGCCAGUUUGCUGCCAAUUUAAUAAUUUUUUUUUUCAAAAAAUCAUAGUUAAAAAAACAGCGGAGGAAGAAGAAGAAGAAGAUUAACAUAACCAAAAUGAAUAAACAGACAAAAAAAGGCAAAAGCGUACAUACAUUUUUCUUGUUAUAGUGAAUAAUAGCAGUAUUCACCCUGUUCUUAACAUAUCUGUAGAAAAAGCCAUCAGUCUUCAAGUCUUCAAGACAGUUAAAAAAACGGCCUCUCGUCUUCUCCAAAUUAAACACCUGUGCAAUUGUGUGCAUGUAUAUAGGCAUUUAUAAGCUCUGGAUUCAACAGAUAGUGUGGAUAUGUCAUAAAAAAAGGUACGAAAUUGUAUACCACAUCAUAUAUUUCUCCAAUUCUUCAUUUUUUAUACACCAUUCAUCCAAAAAGAAAGGAUCGAACAGGAAAGCGUGGUGUUCGGACCAGUCGGACUCGGACUCGGACCCUGACCCCGACCCGUCGGGCUCGAUUCGGACCCGUCAGAAUCGGCCUCGUCGGACUCGGCGCCGCGCACGUACUCGUAAUCCUCUCCGGACUCGUAAUUGGUGUCGAGGUCGUCAAACUGAAGUCCAUCCCGGUUUAGGGAUGACAUUUCGCUGGAAGAGGAUGACUUUCCUUGGUCGGCGUCCUUGUCCGCUACUUCUUCUCCGUCGAUUCCUCGAUCCUCCGCCGCUGGUUGAUAAACUCCAAGUUCUUCGUCGGAGGAAAGUAACUUUCCCGGAUCCAUCUGAAGAGGAAAAAACCCUAUAUUUUUUGGUUGAUCAUAAAGUACAAUAUGCCGACAUCACCUUAACGGCUUAACCAUAGCACCUUAUAAGUUGGGCUAAGAGACAGUGGCAAGGUGAUUACCUGAUU
rnacentral:lncRNA from 1 species